rnacentral:misc_RNA from 1 species
GAUGAAGAACGUAGCGAAAUGCGAUAAGUAGUGUGAAUUGCAGAAUUCAGUGAAUCAUCGAAUCUUUGAACGCACAUUGCGCCCUUUGGUAUUCCUUAGGGCAUGCCUGUUCGAGCGUCAUUUCAACCCUCAAGCCCUGCUUGGUGUUGGGCGUUUGACCUGCCUCCGCGCGGGACUCGCCUCAAAGACAUUGGCGGCCGGUUUCCCUUUGCAGGCCACGAGCGCAGCACAGCGAGCGCUCUACGUGGACGCGGGGUCGGCGCACCAGAAGCCCUCUUUCUCGAAUUUUGACCUCGGAUCAGGUAGGGAUACCCGCUGAACUUAAGCAUAUCAAUAAGCGGAGGA